rnacentral:rRNA from 1 species
GACGUAGGGCGCGAGCGUUGUCCGGAUUUAUUGGGCGUAAAGAGCUCGUAGGCGGCUUGUCGCGUCGAUCGUGAAAACUCACAGCUCAACUGUGAGCUUGCGGUCGAUACGGGCAGGCUCGAGUUCGGUAGGGGAGACUGGAAUUCCUGGUGUAGCGGUGAAAUGCGCAGAUAUCAGGAGGAACACCGGUGGCGAAGGCGGGUCUCUGGGCUGACACGUGACGCUCAUGCACGAAAGCGUGGGGAGCAAACAGG